UCGGGAAUUUUGUGCAAUGGGCGAAAGCCUGACACAGCAACGCCGCGUGAAGGAUGAAGUCCCUCGGGAUGUAAACUUCGUAAGAAUAGGAAGAAUAAAUGACGGUACUAUUUGUAAGGUCCGGCUAACUACGUGCCAGCAGCCGCGGUAAUACGUAGGGACCAAGCGUUGUUCGGAUUUACUGGGCGUAAAGGGUGCGUAGGCGGCAUAUCAAGUCACUUGUGAAAUCUCCGGGCUUAACUCGGAACUGCCAAGUGAUACUGAUGUGCUAGAGUGCAGAAAGGGCAACUGGAAUUCUUGGUGUAGCGGUGAAAUGCGUAGAUAUCAAGAGGAACACCUGAGGCGAAGGCGAGUUGCUAGGCUGACACUGACGCUGAGGUACGAAAGCUAGGGGAGCGAACGGGAUUAGAUACCCUCGUAGUCCCUGAGCGGG
rnacentral:rRNA from 1 species